ensembl:lncRNA
AUAUAUAUAUGUUUCAAUUCAAGACCCUCCUAGUGACUUGGGUGUGUGACUAAACUUAAAGAUUUGGAUUCUUGAUGCAAGACAGGAAAAAAAAAUAACACAAAACUUCCCAGAGAGAUUCAAUUCAAUGGGAAAUCAGGAGCAAGUAACACUAGUAGUCAUAGGACUGACAGACUGUCCCAGACAGAGCAGUUCAUUCAACAUGACCUGAAGCCAUAGUAAGAAGACAUAGAAAGGCCACCUUCCUAUCCACACAACCCUAUAGCUAAAUAGGAUGUAGCCAUAGUCUCUGUUUGUACCAUUCCCGCAGAGCACUCGUUCUGUUUUCUUAAAUACGGGCCAUUACUGUACAGUGGAUUACAUACAACCCAUCAAACGAUAGAAUGAUGAGUGGGUUGGUAAACGUCAAUAUCGUGGUAAACACAUUUGCAGAAGCCAGAAUAAUGCGAAUCACAUACUAGCAACCUACAUUAUAUCAUAAAAAUAAUCUGUAAAAUAACACAGAUUAAAAGAUUUCAUCAUUAUACAGAUAUAAAGACUUGCAAAAUGGCUGCGUGAACAGGAGACCAUUUGAAGAAGGAUUUUAUCAUGCUUGUUUCUUCCUCCUCUUAAAGGAGCUACAUUUCAUUUUGCAAGAAAUAAUAAACUCAAAUUCGGCCACUCCGUCUCAACAAGCACUCUCUACCUCCCAGCCUUCAUUUUUAAAACAGGACGCAACUCCAUAAAUGUAUUAUUAUAGAUGACAAGGCCACUCUUCUGACUGACUUCAAACCGACCACGUCUAUGAUUCUUCCUUCUAGCCAAACCUUCCCUCUUCGUCAGGUCAACCAACACCUCAAACCUUCCCUCUUCGUCAGGUCAACCAACACCUCAAACCUCCCCUCAGUCUAGUCAACCAACACCUCAAACCUUCCCUCUUCGUCAGGUCAACCAACUCCUCAAACCUUCCCUCUUAGUCUAGUCAACCAACUCCUCAAACCUUCCCUCUUAGUCUAGUCAACCAACUCCUCAAACCUUCCCUCUUAUCUAGUCAACCAACACCUCAAACCUUCCCUCUUCGUCAG